UACAGAGGUCUCAAGCGUUGUUCGGAUUCAUUGGGCGUAAAGGGUGCGUAGGCGGCGCGGUAAGUCGGGUGUGAAAUCUCGGAGCUUAACUCCGAAACUGCAUUCGAUACUGCCGUGCUUGAGGACUGGAGAGGAGACUGGAAUUUACGGUGUAGCGGUGAAAUGCGUAGAUAUCGUAAGGAAGACCAGUGGCGAAGGCGGGUCUCUGGACAGUUCCUGACGCUCAUGCACGAAAGCGUGGGGAGCAAACAGG
rnacentral:rRNA from 1 species